rnacentral:rRNA from 1 species
AUUGAACGCUGGCGGCAGGCCUAACACAUGCAAGUCGAACGGAGCGGCGGACGGGUGAGUAAUGGCUAGGUAUCUGCCUGUUAGCGGUGGAUAAGGUCAGGUAACGGGCGGUAAUACCGCAUCCUAUCAGAUGAGCCUAGGUCGGAUUAGCUAGGUGGUGGGGUAAAGGCCUACCAAGGCGACGAUCCGUAACUGGUCUGAGAGGAUGAUCAGCCACACUGGAACUGAGACACGGCCCAGACUCCUACGGGAGGCAGCAGUGGGGAAUAUUGGACAAGGGGCGAAAGCCUGAUCCAGCCAUGCCGCGUGUGUGAAGAAGGUCUUCGGAGUGUAAAGCACUUUAAGUUGGGAGGCGGUACCAACAGAAUAAGCACCGGCUAACUUCGUGCCAGCCGCCGCGGUAAUAC